AGAGUUUGAUCCUGGCUCAGAACGAACGCUGGCGGCAGGCCUAACACAUGCAAGUCGAGCGCGCCUUUCGGGGUGAGCGGCGGACGGGUUAGUAACGCGUGGGAACGUACCCUUUUCUGCGGAAUAGCCUCUGGAAACGGAGAGUAAUACCGCAUACGCCCUUCGGGAGAAAGAUUUAUCGGAGAAGGAUCGGCCCGCGUUAGAUUAGAUAGUUGGUGGGGUAACGGCUUACCAAGUCUACGAUCUAUAGCUGGUUUUAGAGGAUGAUCAGCAACACUGGGACUGAGACACGGCCCAGACUCCUACGGGAGGCAGCAGUGGGGAAUCUUGGACGAUGGGGGCAACCCUGAUCCAGCCAUGCCGCGUGAGUGAAGAAGGCCCUAGGGUCGUAAAACUCUCUCGCCUGUGAUGAUAAUGACAGUAGCAGGUAAAGAAACCCCGGCUAACUCCGUGCCAGCAGCCGCGGUAAUACGGAGGGGGUUAGCGUUGUUCGGAAUUACUGGGCGUAAAGCGCACGUAGGCGGAUUAGAAAGUUAGAGGUGAAAUCCCGGGGCUCAACCCCGGAACUGCCUUUAAAACUACUAGUCUAGAGAUCGAGAGAGGUGAGUGGAAUUCCGAGUGUAGAGGUGAAAUUCGUAGAUAUUCGGAGGAACACCAGUGGCGAAGGCGGCUCACUGGCUCGAUACUGACGCUGAGGUGCGAAAGUGUGGGGAGCAAACAGGAUUAGAUACCCUGGUAGUCCACACCGUAAACGAUGAAUGCCAGUCGUCGGGUAGUAUACUAUUCGGUGACACACCUAACGGAUCAAGCAUUCCGCCUGGGGAGUACGGUCGCAAGAUUAAAACUCAAAGGAAUUGACGG
rnacentral:rRNA from 1 species